AAUGUGCGGCCGGCGUGUGGUAUUGGCCGCUGCGUUCGGCGUCCAUCCGGCAGCUGGCGCAGCGAUCGCGGUCAGUGAGUGUGGGGCCCCAGCGACGGGCGGGCCAGUCACGACUCCCUCCUGCGUGCAGCGCGAAGAGGCUGCGCGCCGGUUUGACACCCGCUCUCCAAAGAAGCCAUGCGUUUCCUGUUUCUCGUCUACAGUUUUGUGCUGGUACCAAUUUGCUUGCAUCAAGAAAUAUCUUCCUCUGACAUUCAACAGCCGACGCUCUCCCAAGAGACACCUGUGGCCUCCUUAAACUACUGGGCUUCUCUGAACCGCAAGAAGCGCAAGAUCUACAGCCUCAAAGUAGGCAGCAGCUUAGGAUUCAAGCAAACUGCGCUGAAUGCUAUCUUUGGGAGCGGCAGGGGCACGCGGCCGCCGCCGCCACCACCACCACCACCACCACCACCGGCCGCCACCACGACAGAAGUGCCGCAGUUCGACCGUGUACGUGUGAAAGUGGAUGUCCCUGCGGACCUGAUCCUGAUUGGCUACCGCAUCACCAGCAGCAUCAGUAAGAUUAUCGGUAGCGUCUUCCUGAACACAGCGGAACGCAAACAGCAGCUGGUGGAGGCGGCGAAGCCGUUCAUCGCGGCGAAGCUGGGUCUGGACAUCAGCGCCUCCUCCUUCACCACGACGGAGCCCAUCGAGUCGCUGGUGCCCCGAGUGGGAUCUCCGCAGGGCGGAGAGUCCGCAGGCAGUUCUCCAAUGUCGGCAGAAGAAAGCUCCGUUAACAGGACAGAUCGAUCCCAGUUGGGGGCAUCGUAACACGAAUUAAAAUUUUGCAAUUGGAAUCCUAGCGAGUUUUCAAGUUCUUAAGGCAGUUAUUACAGUUCUCUGAUUCUGUAGAGCGGAUUAAUGUACUUAUUCUCAUUGUAAAUAAUCUUGUUUUUUUCUAAUAAUACAUUUUUAUAACAAAUUAUAAGGCAAUAAGUGAUUCAAUGGAGCGCACGACUUUCAGAAGGGGUUUCCUUGGGAAGCCGGAUUGUCGAAAUAGAAGUUUUUGUCUCUCUCUUCGGUUUCUACACAGUCAAACGACCAGCAACUGGUAAACAAAGUACCAGCAACACGCAGAACAAUGACGUGACAGGCUACCAGCAGCUCUGCAAAAGUAUGACAUGGUUGUUGUUGGUUUCAUGGUCUUCAGACCCGAAGGCUGGUUUGACGAAAAUCUCGUCUAUGAUACCUUCGGCGCAAGCCUCAUCAUCUGUAUCCAUCUGAGCUGUAUGUGAACCUUUAUUUACCUCUACAACUUUUACCUUUCACGCUUCCCUUCAUUGCCAAAUUGUAGAUCUCGUGACGACUCAGCAUGUGUCCUAUCAACCGAUCUCUUCUUUUAACGUGUGUCAAAAAUGUCUGUCUUUUUCGAACUCGAAUCGAUACACCCUCAAACUUAUUCAAUUUACCCGUCAGAUCUUCAACAGUCUUCUGUAACACCACAUUUUAGUAGCUUCUGUUCUUUUCUUGUGUGAACUGCUUACCGUCCACGUUUCACUUCAGUACAGGGUUAUACUUACGACAAAUAAAAUCAGAAAAUUCCUAACACUGAAGUUUAUAUUAGACUCACAAACUCCUCAUUUUAAAGAAUACUUUUCUUGGUAUUACCAGUUUUCAGUAUCGUAUCUACUUCUGCUACCAUUUUGCUCCCCUUACAGCAAAACUCAUACAUUACUGAAACACAUUCCAAUUCCCUCAUUAUCACCUGAUUUAAUACUCUCUGAACUUUAAUUCCGUUCCUAAAUUUCUCCUUGCUUUUCAUUACUGCUUGCUCAAUGGACCGUCUGAAUAACGUCGGGUGUAGGCUACAGCCCUGUCUCACUUCCUUCUCAUCUACUGCUUUUUUCCACGUGCUAAGACACAUAAUAUUAUAGUCUUCUUUCUGUGCAAACUGUAAAUAGCCUCCCCCCCCCCCCCCCUCCACCGCCCGCUGUAUUCUAUACACUUAAGGAAUCUGUUGCCAACACCUUCAGAACCAGUAGCAUUCCUUCUGUUUUAUUCCGCUGGUGAGUAUUGUGCCCCUGUUUGGGUAAAUAGCCACUACUCCGAUAUUGUUGUCGUCCAGUUCCACCAAUCAAUAAAAUUAGUUGCGGGGACAAUCAAGAAAUUUCCCAACCUGUGGCUAUCCGUUCUGAUCAACAUCCCACAGUCCAAAGUCAAACACCUUGCUGCCCUAAAACCUCAACUUAAAAAAUAUUCUAAUAAGCCAGUAUUGCAUAGACACACCUGUUCUAUACAACUUGCCGACUAACAUAAGGAAUUAAGACUGCAAUACAGAAGUCUCCCAACGAGAACAGCAACACAACUGCGGAACUCUACUGCAGACGAGCAUAGGCGAUCACAAUGCAUACACCAAGCUAGAAACUGUAGCCUCAUAGGACAUCAGACACUCAAAGUCUGUAUGGUGUAACCUCAACGGCAUCUGCAAAGGACAGGGAAUAUGUUCAUGAGCUCCUACUAGCUUUAUUGUCCUCAGAAAUAGUUUAAUAUGUUCGAUUUUUGGCUUUUUCCUGUUUUCAUAUGUUGAACUAUGCAGAACGUGAAGCUUUUCUGACAACAAUGUUUUAUUUAUCAUCCGAGAUUAAGUUGAGGCGUUACAACCUUAGUCUUAUCUUUCAUGAACGAUAUACUUUACGGCACUCUGUGUUAGUCCGAGCCCGACAUACAGAACAAUUAGUUAGACCAUCUGUGUUGUAUUCUAGUGCAUAAACCUCUCCUCACCACAGACGUCAUCUCACAUCUUAGUGGAUAAUGAUACUCCAUAACUUCCACAUGAAGUUCGGGCGCUGUUUGCCCAGUAACGAUACAUUUUGGCUAUAUUAGCACGCUGUCUGUUCACUUACCUCCUUUUUCAGAACUACUGCUAUUCUUCACUCAAGCACUGACAGAAGUUGUCUUUCUGACUCCUAAUCAUCCUAUACAAUUAGAAAAGACAACGCUUGUAAUAGUGUGAUGAAAAAAGGGCUUACACUACUUAUAAUAUUUUUGCACAUGUUAAAUACUAAUUAUUGCAGUCAAGAAAUAUGGUAGGAGCUGAUACUGUCGACUAUAUCGCAGGGUGAACGUAUUUCUUACCGCCUGAUUGGACAUAUAAGUGAAACUCUAAGACAACUACAACAUUGAUCUACACUAUCAGCAAUCAGUGUCCACUACGAACACUGACAAAUGCAUACACAUUUUUGUUCUGUAGCUGUUUGUCUUCCUGACCCCUGGUGAUAGACUUACAGGAACUGCGAGCUUGAAUCAGAGUAAUAAUUGCAUACGUUUACGAAGACAUGCUAAGCUUCGAAUUUUGCUUUGAUAUCCUGCAGCCUGAACUCUUUUAAAUUGCCAUUAAAACUUCACUUGCGUGUGAACAUUGUCACAAACCUCACCUUUCUACUAAUCCCCGCCACUAGUCUGUAACGAGCCAUCAGAGAUGAUGCAACCCUGAUAACAAAAUACUCAGAAUGUAUCCAUGAAGAACCUCUGAGAGUUUUUCGCUGGAAAAAUUGUAAAGGAAAUAAAAUACGUCCUUAUUUCAACCGAAACUCAUACGUAGCUGACUUAAGAAAUUAAUUGCUUCAUACACUAAAUGAAGGGGCACGGGGAAGCCGAGGGAGAGGAAUAUGGAAGCGUGGUACUGACUGAAAGACUCGCAACACCAAAAAAUAGUGAAUGUAUAGUAAUGAAAUUUCGGGAACACGUUUGCCCAGGUGACAUACGCAAAACAUUAAUAUUGCAAAAUCACAGGUUAAUGUAAGUGCCGUUUCAGAUAUCAAAAGUUGGUACAUUAAUAAUCGGCGUAGCCGCCAGAAUGUUAAAUUCAAGCAUGUAAACGUGCAUGUAUCGUGCUAGAUGUCAUUUUGUGAGAUACGGGCCCGGUUAAUGAUGUUCGUAAAUAAUGCUGGGGUAGUCUUGAGACGAAGUCUCACAUCUGCUCAAAAGGAGAAAUGUCAGGUGGUCGAGGAGACCGAGGAGACAUGUCGACACUCUGUAGAGCAUGUUGGAGUUCAACAACGCUAUGCGGGAGAGCGUUUUCCUCUACGGAAACACCCCAUGGAAUGCUGUUCAUAAAUGGCAGCACAACAGGACGAAACACUAGGUUGGCGUACAUAUCUGCAAUCAGGGUGCGUGAGAUAUCACGCGAGUGCUCCUGUUGUCAUACGAAAUUGCACCCCAGACCAUAACACUAGAUGUACAUCCAGUGAGUCUGGUACGCAGAUACUGAGCGGUUCUAGGCACUUCAGUCUGGAACACCGCGCCCGCUACGGUCGCAGGUUCGAGUCCUGCCUCGGGCAUGGAUGUGUGUCAUGUCCCUAGAUUAAUUAGGUUUCAGUAGUUCUACGCCUAGGGGACUGAUGACCUCAGAUGUUAAAUCCCUUAGUGCUUAUAGCCAUUUGAAACAAUUUUUCUCCUAACUAACACACGGUCGUCAUUGGC